rnacentral:rRNA from 1 species
UACGUAGGGUGCAAGCGUUAAUCGGAAUUACUGGGCGUAAAGCGUGCGCAGGCGGUUGUGCAAGACAGAUGUGAAAUCCCCGGGCUUAACCUGGGAAUUGCAUUUGUGACUGCACGGCUAGAGUGUGUCAGAGAGGGGUAGAAUUCCACGUGUAGCAGUGAAAUGCGUAGAUAUGUGGAGGAAUACCGAUGGCGAAGGCAGCCCCCUGGGAUAACACUGACGCUCAUGCACGAAAGCGUGGGGAGCAAACAGG